GACGAACGCUGGCGGCGUGCUUAACACAUGCAAGUCGAGCGGUAAGGCCCUUCGGGUACGACGAGCGGCGAACGGGUGAGUAACACGUGGGUGACCUGCCUCUAGCUCUGGGAUAAGCCUGGGAAACUGGGUCUAAUACCGGAUAUGACUCCACGGCGCAUGUUGUGGGGUGGAAAGCCUUGUGUGGCUAGAGAUGGGCCCGCGGCCUAUCAGCUUGUUGGUGGGGUGAUGGCCACCAAGGCGACGACGGGUAGCCGGCCUGAGAGGGCGACCGGCCGACACUGGGGACUGAGACACGGCCCAGACUCCUACGGGAGGCAGCAGUGGGGAAUCUUGCGCAAUGGGCGAAAGCCUGACGCAGCGACGCCGCGUGAGGGAUGACGGCCU
rnacentral:rRNA from 1 species